CCGGCAAAUGCCGGAGGAAUUACAUGGGUCGCGGGUUCAAGUCCCGCCUUUGCCGGUAGGCAAAGUAGCUCAGCAGGGUAGAGCGGUGGAUUCAUUUCUCCCAGUUUAGUUGUUGGCUG
rnacentral:Y_RNA from 1 species